AGUUAGCUGACGAGUCCCAAAUAGGACGAAAUGCGCUAGUCACCAUCCACCAAUUAAAU
rnacentral:hammerhead_ribozyme from 1 species